ACAAGCAGUGGGAGCACAGGUUUACCUGUGUGACUGCGUACCUUUUGUAUAAUGGGUCAGCGACUUAUAUUCUGUAGCAAGGUUAACCGUAUAGGGGAGCCGUAGGGAAACCGAGUCUUAACCGGGCGUUAAGUUGCAGGGUAUAGACCCGAAACCCGGUGAUCUAGCCAUGGGCAGGUUGAAGGUUGGGUAACACUAACUGGAGGACCGAACCGACUAAUGUUGAAAAAUUAGCGGAUGACCUGUGGCUGGGGGUGAAAGGCCAAUCAAACCGGGAGAUAGCUGGUUCUCCCCGAAAGCUAUUUAGGUAGCGCCUCGUGAAUUCAUCUCCGGGGGUAGAGCACUGUUUCGGCUAGGGGGCCAUCCCGGCUUACCAACCCGAUGCAAACUGCGAAUACCGGAGAAUGUUAUCACGGGAGACACACGGCGGGUGCUAACGUCCGUCGUGAAGAGGGAAACAACCCAGACCGCCAGCUAAGGUCCCAAAGUCAUGGUUAAGUGGGAAACGAUGUGGGAAGGCCCAGACAGCCAGGAUGUUGGCUUAGAAGCAGCCAUCAUUUAAAGAAAGCGUAAUAGCUCACUGGUCGAGUCGGCCUGCGCGGAAGAUGUAACGGGGCUAAACCAUGCACCGAAGCUGCGGCAGCGAACGUAUCACCCAAGACAACUUUACGGAGUUGACGAUUGACGGAGCGAAGCGACGUCAAAGCGUUCAUUAAAGUCGAGUUGGCUUAGGGAUACGUUCGUUGGGUAGGGGAGCGUUCUGUAAGCCUGUGAAGGUGUGUCGUGAGGCAUGCUGGAGGUAUCAGAAGUGCGAAUGCUGACAUAAGUAACGAUAAAGCGGGUGAAAAGCCCGCUCGCCGGAAGACCAAGGGUUCCUGUCCAACGUUAAUCGGGGCAGGGUGAGUCGACCCCUAAGGCGAGGCCGAAAGGCGUAGUCGAUGGGAAACGGGUUAAUAUUCCCGUACUUGGUGUUACUGCGAAGGGGGGACGGAGAAGGCUAUGUUGGCCGGGCGACGGUUGUCCCGGUUUAAGCGUGUAGGUGUGUGUUCCAGGUAAAUCCGGUUCACUUUAACACUGAGGCGUGACGACGAGGCACUACGGUGCUGAAGCAACAAAUGCCCUGCUUCCAGGAAAAGCCUCUAAGCAUCAGGUAACACGAAAUCGUACCCCAAACCGACACAGGUGGUCAGGUAGAGAAUACCAAGGCGCUUGAGAGAACUCGGGUGAAGGAACUAGGCAAAAUGGUGCCGUAACUUCGGGAGAAGGCACGCUGACACGUAGGUGAAGUGAUUUACUCAUGGAGCUGAAGUCAGUCGAAGAUACCAGCUGGCUGCAACUGUUUAUUAAAAACACAGCACUGUGCAAACACGAAAGUGGACGUAUACGGUGUGACGCCUGCCCGGUGCCGGAA
rnacentral:rRNA from 1 species